CCAGCAUCUGCAGUUCGCUAUCCCCUAAAGUGGCAGCUAUUGUUUUUAUUAUUUUGUCAAAGUGCAUCUACCACGACACCCCUUUUUGUGUUUCAUGUGAAAUCUCUCUCCAAAUAUUUGUGCUCAAAAUAUUGUUUAUUUUUUUUUUAAUUCUGCAGAUCUUUUAUGAUCUGGUCAGACAGAUCAAUAGGAAAGCACCAGUGGAAAAGUGUAAAAAGAAGAAAUCCCAAUGUAUGCUGCUUUAAAUGUCUGCUAUGCAGCAGGUCUGAGCCAGGUAUGAAGAACUGUUGCCUAAUUGGAAAGUGCCAGCAUUCCAAUUUCAAAAAAAAAUUAACAUAUCUGAAGAGGCUUCACCCGUUUUUAUAUCUUCAAUUUAAAAAGAGAUCUCCAGAAGACAGUUUGCACAUACUGUUCCUGAAAUUUGCCAUGUGCAUCGCUUGAACAGACAGUAUUUUCACCUUUUUGCAUAGUGGUUAUAGCCAAUGUGGAUUUAAUGAUGAGUUUAGUUGUAUGAUUAUACAAAAAAAAAGCAUGGACACAUUUCCAAUGUUGUAGAUGUUGCAAGUGAAAUUAAGAGUUGAUUACAUAUUGGCCUUUUAUCAUCGCACCUCUUCUCCCUAUCGAGCACUAAUAGUUCACGGAUAGUUUUUGACAUCUUUAGUCCAUAUUGGUCCCUAAUGGACUUCUCCCAACAGUUAACAUCUACUUUUGGUCAUUGUGGCUCCGUUUUAUAUUGGGAAGUUACAAGAUCACUUUUACUUUCACUAUACAAUUGUAUUCUAAUUAAAAAUGUUUUGUGCAUAAUGCUUUGGAAAAAUGGGUCUUUUAUAGGAAAACUGUGGAAAGCUGAUUUCUAUGUCUCUCUCAAAGCUGAAAUAUAUUAUACUAAACCAACUCUAAA